rnacentral:rRNA from 1 species
GACGAACGCUGGCGGCGUGCUUAACACAUGCAAGUCGAACGGUGAAGGGAUCAGCUUGCUGGUUCUGGAUGAGUGGCGAACGGGUGAGUAACACGUGAGCAAUCUGCCCCUGACUCUGGGAUAAGCGCUGGAAACGGCGUCUAAUACUGGAUACGAGCUGCGAAGGCAUCUUCAGCAGCUGGAAAGAACUUCGGUCAGGGAUGAGCUCGCGGCCUAUCAGCUUGUUGGUGAGGUAACGGCUCACCAAGGCGUCGACGGGUAGCCGGCCUGAGAGGGUGACCGGCCACACUGGGACUGAGACACGGCCCAGACUCCUACGGGAGGCAGCAGUGGGGAAUAUUGCACAAUGGGCGAAAGCCUGAUGCAGCAACGCCGCGUGAGGGACGACGGCCUUCGGGUUGUAAACCUCUUUUAGCAGGGAAGAAGCGAAAGUGACGGUACCUGCAGAAAAAGCGCCGGCUAACUACGUG